GGUUGUGGUGAGGGUAGUGGGUAAAGAAGCGCCGGCUAACUACGUGCCAGCAGCCGCGGUAAUACGUAGGGCGCGAGCGUUGUCCGGAAUUAUUGGGCGUAAAGGGCUUGUAGGCGGUUGGUCGCGUCUGCCGUGAAAUCCUCUGGCUUAACUGGGGGCGUGCGGUGGGUACGGGCUGACUUGAGUGCGGUAGGGGAGACUGGAACUCCUGGUGUAGCGGUGGAAUGCGCAGAUAUCAGGAAGAACACCGGUGGCGAAGGCGGGUCUCUGGGCCGUUACUGACGCUGAGGAGCGAAAGCGUGGGGAGCGAACAGGAUUAGAUACCCUGGUAGUCCACGCUGUAAACGUUGGGCACUAGGUGUGGGGGCCACCCGUGGUUUCUGCGCCGUAGCUAACGCUUUAAGUGCCCCGCCUGGGGAGUACGGCCGCAAGGCUAAAACUCAAAGGAAUUGACGGGGGCCCGCACAAGCGGCGGAGCAUGCGGAUUAAUUCGAUGCAACGCGAAGAACCUUACCAAGGCUUGACAUGCACGGCGACACUGCAGAGAUGUGGUGGCAUUUAGUUGGUCGUGUGCAGGUGGUGCAUGGUUGUCGUCAGCUCGUGUCGUGAGAUGUUGGGUUAAGUCCCGCAACGAGCGCAACCCUUGCCCUAUGUUGCCAGCACGUGAUGGUGGGGACUCGUGGGGGACUGCCGGGGUUAACUCGGAGGAAGGUGGGGAUGACGUCAAAUCAUCAUGCCCCUUAUGUCUUGGGCUUCACGCAUGCUACAAUGGUUGGUACAGAGGGUUGCGAUACUGUGAGGUGGAGCGAAUCCCUUAAAGCCAGUCUCAGUUCGGAUUGGGGUCUGCAACUCGACCCCAUGAAGGUGGAGUCGCUAGUAAUCGCAGAUCAGCAACGCUGCGGUGAAUACGUUCUCGGGCCUUGUACACACCGCCCGUCACGUCACGAAAGUUGGUAACACCCGAAGCCCAUGGCCUAACCGCUUUUGCGGGGGGAGUGGUCGAAGGUGGGAUUGGCGAUUGGGACGAAGUCGUAACAAGGUAGCCGUACCGGAAGGUGCGGCUGGAUCACCUCCUUUCUAGGGAG
rnacentral:rRNA from 1 species